GAUGAACGCUGGCGGCGUGCUUAACACAUGCAAGUCGAACGAUGAAGCCCAGCUUGCUGGGUGGAUUAGUGGCGAACGGGUGAGUAACACGUGAGUAACCUGCCCUUGACUCUGGGAUAAGCCUGGGAAACUGGGUCUAAUACUGGAUAUGACUUCUCAUCGCAUGGUGGGGGGUGGAAAGAUUUAUUGGUCUUGGAUGGACUCGCGGCCUAUCAGCUUGUUGGUGAGGUAAUGGCUCACCGAGGCGACGACGGGUAGCCGGCCUGAGAGGGUGACCGGCCACACUGGGACUGAGACACGGCCCAGACUCCUACGGGAGGCAGCAGUGGGGAAUAUUGCACAAUGGGCGCAAGCCUGAUGCAGCGACGCCGCGUGAGGGACGACGGCCUUCGGGUUGUAAACCUCUUUCAGUAGGGAAGAAGCGAGAGUGACGGUACCUGCAGAAGAAGCGCCGGCUAACUACGUG
rnacentral:rRNA from 1 species